GCCGUUCAUAUCUAUUGCUUUUUUUUUUUUUUGUCGAAUGUUAUUUACUUAUUAGUAUACUAUGAGGAAAAAAAAAAUUCUAACACCAUGUUAGAUUAUGAGUUUAACGUUUAAUUCAUUUCCAUAAAAUUAGUUUUUAGGAUGACAAUUUUCUAAGCUUUAUAUGUUUUUAUGUUUUUACAUUGAAUAUAUCUCCGGUCGAUGUGAAAUGUUAACCACCUUAAAGUUAAUAUCCGAUUGGCCACAUUCUAUGAUGUUUAGCUAUUUUUAAAUACACUUGCAAUAAACUCUUAUAAGUUGCAAUUAAGGUGAGACAUGGGUGAAUGCAAUUAAAAUGACUUUCGAACAUUCCUCUCACACCUAGGACAAUGAACCUGAAACGUGAUAUUGUGGAUGGACCAACAAAUAAUUUAGAAUAUACUUUAUUAUCAACUUGAAAUAGAAAAUACAAUUUAAUUAAUUUAAUAAAUUUUCAAUACAAGCAUUAGUCUAUAUGGUUACUAAAGGUUAAAAUAUGUUUUUUCCUAUAAAUAUUAAAAUGUUCAACACUCAUCCUUGAAAAAUUUUGAGUAUGUUUUUCUUCCUCGCAAAAUGUAAAUGUGUGAUAUUUUGGCUCGAAAUUGAAUUCGGAAAAUUCAAUCCUACAUUGUCAUGUCUGGUCCUCGCCAAUGGGUCAACACAUCAACGAGAGUUUGCCAUGUGUCAAGUUUUUGUUGGUUAUCUUUUGGGCGCACAAUGAAUACAAGUCUUCACAGAGAAACACAUUGUGGGAUGCACUAUGAGAGACACUGUGAGAGAGUUGUUGCUAUUGUGUGUUAUUUGAAAUUGAAGGUGGUCGAAACUCAAAGGUGGUGGUGUUUCGAACUCAAAGGUGGUCCUAGUCCCAAACAGGAAGGUAUUGGGGUUUUUGGUUGUUAUUCACUCCGUAGGCUCGUGGGUUAUGAACCCAACAUUAAAAUGGGAGGGGGAAAAGGAGAAUGCCUAUCACGACUUGGAUAUUGACACAUGAUCAUUCCUUGAAGUUGUGGACUUGAUACACAAUCUUGAGUAUUCAGUUACUGGUAGGCUUAAAAUGUGGUGGAAAGGGACUGAUGUUGAUUAUGAAACCUUAAGUAUGGGGGGAAAAUGCUUGUAGUUGUGGCCAAAGAUGCUAAUAACCAAUAGUGUCCUUUGGAAUUUGUUGUUGUUGUUGAGACUGAGAACAAGGACAACUGGAAAUGGUUCUUAAAUGGUUCUACAAAAUAGCAACCAAAAUCGAAACAAAAGGCAAAGGAGAAGGCUAGUUUUGUCCCAAGCAUGAAGGGCAUCAAUAAGGAAAAAGGAUUUGCUUGCAAAUUGUACUCCAACACAAUUCCUAACAAAGAUUGUGAAUCAAAAGAUGGUAAACCAAAGUAGAAUAAAAAAAGGAAUAAAAAAAGGACAAAUGAAGGAAGGGUUUGUUUCUGGAUCAACACAUGUGAAAAGGAAUCAAGUUAGGCAUUGAUGUCUGGUGGACAAUGCUAGUGGAAGUUUUUUUUUCAUGUAUUUGCUGAUUGGGUGGGAUUUGUUUUGGUUUAAUUAAACAAUGAGAAUCUUCUAUGUAGUCUUUUUAUGAAAUCCAAAGUAUCAAACAUUGUCUGUUUUUACUUUUACGAUGAGACAAUGAUUAUUAUGUUAUGUGAUUAUUAAAGGCUAUCCUUAUCAAUAUUAAACUUUUUUGCUAUAUUUUACA